rnacentral:rRNA from 1 species
GAUGAACGCUGGCGGCGUGCCUAAUACAUGCAAGUCGAGCGAACAGACGAGGAGCUUGCUCCUCUGACGUUAGCGGCGGACGGGUGAGUAACACGUGGAUAACCUACCUAUAAGACUGGGAUAACUUCGGGAAACCGGAGCUAAUACCGGAUAAUAUAUUGAACCGCAGGGUUCAAUAGUGAAAGACGGUUUUGCUGUCACUUAUAGAUGGAUCCGCGCCGCAUUAGCUAGUUGGUAAGGUAACGGCUUACCAAGGCAACGAUGCGUAGCCGAGCUGAGAGGGUGAUCGGCGACACUGGAACUGAGACACGGUCCAGACUCCUACGGGAGGCAGCAGUAGGGAAUCUUCCGCAAUGGGCGAAAGCCUGACGGAGCAACGCCGCGUGAGUGAUGAAGGUCUUCGGAUCGUAAAACUCUGUUAUUAGGGAAGAACAAAUGUGUAAGUAACUAUGCACGUCUUGACGGUACCUAAUCAGAAAGCCACGGCUAACUACGUG